rnacentral:misc_RNA from 1 species
GAAAUGCGAUAAGUAAUGUGAAUUGCAGAAUUCAGUGAAUCAUCGAAUCUUUGAACUCACAUUGCGCCCGCCAGUAUUCUGGCGGGCAUGCCUGUUCGAGCGUCAUUACAACCCUCAGGCCCCCGGGCCUGGCGUUGGGGAUCGGCGGAAGCCCCCUGCGGGCACAACGCCGUCCCCCAAAUACAGUGGCGGUCCCGCCGCAGCUUCCAUUGCGUAGUAGCUAACACCUCGCAACUGGAGAGCGGCGCGGCCACGCCGUAAAACACCCAACUUCUGAAUGUUGACCUCGAAUCAGGUAGGAAUACCCGCUGAACUUAAGC